rnacentral:rRNA from 1 species
CCUACGGGAGGCCGCAGUAGGGAAUCUUUCACAAUGGGCGAAAGCCUGAUGGAGCAACGCCGCGUGCAGGAUGAAGGCCUUCGGGUUGUAAACUGCUUUUAUAAGCGAGAAAUAUGAUGGUAACUUAUGAAUAAGGAUCGGCUAACUACGUGCCAGCAGCCGCGGUCAUACGUAGGAUCCGAGCAUUAUCCGGAGUGACUGGGUGUAAAGAGUUGCGUAUGUGGCAGAAUAAGUAGCUAGUUAAAUCUGGUGGCGAAACCAUUCAGACUAUUCGCUAAACUGUUACGCUCGAGACCGUUAGGGGUAACUGGAAUUGCUAGUGUAGGAGUGAAAGCCGUAGAUAUUAGAAGGAACACCAAUAGCGUAGGCAGGUUACGGGGACGGUUCUGACACUAAGGCACGAAAGCGUAGGGAGCAAACGGGAUUAGAUACCCGUGUAGUC